GGGGGGGGGGGGGGGGGGGGGGGGGGGGGGGGGGGCGGGGGGGGGGGGGCGGGGGGGGUGGGGUGCUCGGGGGGCGAGCGGGUGAGUAGCAGGGGGGUAACGGGCCCUGGACUUUGGGGAAGCUUGAGGAAACGGGGGCGAAAACCGGGGAGGGGCGCCGGCUGCGGGGGGGGGGGUGGAAAGUUGCGGCGGUUGGGGAUGGGCUCGCGGCUAAUCAGCUUGUUGGUGGGGUAGUGGCUUACCAAGGCUUUGACGGGUAGCCGGCCUGGGAGGGUGACCGGCCACAUUGGGACUGAGAUACGGCCCAGACUCCUACGGGAGGCAGCAGUGGGGAAUAUUGCACAAUGGGCGGAAGCCUGAUGCAGCAACGCCGCGUGCGGGAUGACGGCCUUCGGGUUGUAAACCGCUUUCGCCUGUGACGAAGCGUGAGUGACGGUAAUGGGUAAAGAAGCACCGGCUAACUACGU
rnacentral:rRNA from 1 species